UCUCCGUUGGUGAACCAGCGGAGGGAUCAUUACCGAGUUUACAACUCCCAAACCCAAUGUGAACGUUACCAAACUGUUGCCUCGGCGGGGUCACGCCCCGGGUGCGUCGCAGCCCCGGAACCAGGCGCCCGCCAGAGGAACCAACCAAACUCUUUCUGUAGUCCCCUCGCGGACGUUAUUUCUUACAGCUCUGAGCAAAAAUUCAAAAUGAAUCAAAACUUUCAACAACGGAUCUCUUGGUUCUG
rnacentral:misc_RNA from 1 species